UGUGUACUCCCUCCGUCCCAAAAUUCUUGUCUUAGAUUUGUCUAGAUACGGAUGUACCUAAUACUAAAACGUGACUUGAUACAUUCGUAUUUAGACAAAUCUAAGACAAGAAUUUUGGGACGGAGGGAGUAGUAA
rnacentral:pre_miRNA from 1 species